AUGCGUGAUGUGCGUGCUUGGUGUCGCGUUCUCCUCACUGGAUCCUGGUUGAUUUGCAGGUGCACUGGCUUCAUCUUCCAGAAAGUUGGAAAGCUGGCAGCAACGGCAGUGGGAGGUGGCUUCUUCCUGCUUCAGGUGUGUACGAAGAGCGGGCCAGGCUUUGCGAGAACGCUGCUGGUGGGGAGGAAGGGCUGUCUUAGUGCUCCUUACUUGUUGGGACGUGUGGGGNNNNNNNNNNNNNNNNNNNNNNNNNNNNNNNNNNNNNNNNNNNNNNNNNNCGGCUCGGCUCGGCCCGGCCCGGCUCGGCUCGGCUCGGCUCGGCGGGGCCAUGGCGAGCCGGGGCUGCGGGCUGCUGCGGCUGCUGCUGGGCGCCGCUCUGCCGCUGCUGCGCUCCGCCGAGGCGGCCGCCGUCAGCCCCGAGCGGAGCCUGGCGUGGGGCCCCGGGCUGGAAGCGGGGCUCGCCCUGCCCGUGCGCUACUUCCACGUCCAGGCGGUCAGCGCGGCCGGACACAACUUCACCCGCUCGCCCCCAGGUACCGUGCUCGGGCUCCGGGGCAGGGGGGCGGGCUGCGAGCCCUGCCCCGGGGGCAGCGGGUCUCCUCCGGGCUGCGCAGCCCUCCCUUUCCCCUAUCCCCUUCCCUUUCCCCUGUCCCCUUCCCAUUUCCUUUUCCUUUCCCCUUUCCCCUUCCCCUUCUCCUCCUCCUCUUCCUCCUCCCUCCGUGCUCUGUGCGGUGCCACCACCCAUCCCUGGCUGCCCCCACGUCCGGCAGCCUGCCCGUUCCCUCAGCUCCAUGCCCUGAAGUGCUGAAGCACUUAUCUCCAUCUCUGCGCGCGUUCAGCUCGCUUCAGAUCCCAGUCUCACAGCGCUCUGGGCUCCGUUAUCCUCCUGCUGCCCCGUUAAACGGGAAUAAUUUUCAUCUCCUGUUUAUUCAGCGCCAGCACAAAACAUCUCCUGAGGGUGGGAAUGGGGUUCUGCGCUCACAGCCCCGCGCUGUGCUGCCUGGCAGCUGGUUUCUGCCACAAGUUAGUCGCCCACCCUCUGUACAAAUAGUUGUAGUUUAG
rnacentral:lncRNA from 1 species